AGGCCCGUAGCUCAGUGGCAGAGCGGUCGGCUUAUAUCCGACUGGUCGCAGGUUCGAUCCCUGCCGGGCCUACCA
rnacentral:tRNA from 1 species